UGGGGAUUGGGUGGUGCUUGGAGCCAAGGUGUCCGAGUUUGCUUUAAAAGGGCCUCCUCUAUGCGCUCUCCUCACACAUCCAGCUCUCUUCCUCAGGCUCUACUGCAUAUCCAUACAGACUGCUGCCAUGGCUGGGAUUGAAGAAGCAAUGAAGAUUCUCAGGAAGCCCUUCGAUAAGUAUGCAAAGAAAGAUGGAGACAAAAAGACUCUUUCCAAGCGUGCAUUCUCUAGUCUGCUAAAAGCUGAGUUACCUGAACUUGCUGGAGACAAUAAACAACUGAAUCAUAUGUUCAAAGAAUUCGAUGAGGACGGUGAUGGCACCAUUAGUUUUUCCGAGUACCUCCAACAAAUUUCUGAAUUAAUGGUCCUUAUGGGAUUCUUUGAAGAUCUUUAAAGGCUCUUUUUUUUUCAUUCAGUACUGGAUAAAGCAGAUCUAACAUCCUGAACACCUUCAGUUAUCCUUAGAAAUGGCAACAUAAUCUUUGUUGUAAGAAUGAGCAACUUGAAGUUGUACCUAAUAUGGACUUCUGUCUAUAUAACAAUGCUGAAUGAAAGAGGAAAAAUAAAACAUUUUUAAUG